CCCAGGCAAGCAUCCCAGAUUCUAUCCAUCAAUGUACUGUAAAUCCAACUGAGAGGUGACAGCGUGCGGGCAGUCCUCAUAGCCCUCGCUCGCUCGCUCUCGGCGCCUCCUCUGCCUGGGCUCCCACUUUGGCAGCACUUGAGGAGUGCUUCAGCCCACCGCUGCACUGUGGGAGCCCCUUUCUAGGCUGGCCAAGGCCGGAGCCGGCUCCCUCAGCUUGCAGGGAGGUGUGGAGGGAGAGGCGCCGGGAACCGGGGCUGCGCGUGGCGCUUGCGGGCCAGCUGGAGUUCCGGGUGGGCGUGGGCUUGGCGGGCCCCGCACUCGCCGCAGCCAGCCGGCCCUGCCGGCCCCGGGCAAUGAGGGGCUUAGCACCCGGGCCAGCGGCUGUGGAGGGUGUACUGGGUCCCCCAGCAGUGCCAGCCCACCGGUGCUGCGCUUGAUUUCUCGCCGGGCCUUAGCUGCCUUCCUGCGGGGCAGGGCUCAGGACCUGCAGCCCGCCAUGCCUGAGCCUCCCACCCCCUCCGUGGGCUCCUGUGUGGCCCGAGCCUCCCCGAUGAGCGCCGCCCCCUGCUCCAUGGCGCCCAGUCCCAUCGACCACCCAAGGGGUGAGGAGUGCGGGUGCAUGGCGCGGGACUGGCAGGCAGCUCCAUCUGCAGCACCGGUGCAGGAUCCACUGGGUGAAGCCAGCUGAGCUCCUGAGUCUGGUGAGGAUAUGGGGAACCUUUGUAUCUAGCUCAGGGAUUGUAAAUACACCAAUCAGCACCCUGUGUCUAGCUCAGGGUUUGUGAAUGCACCAGUGGACAAUCUGUAUCUAGCUACUCUGGUGGGGCCUUGGAGAACCUUUAUGUCUAGCUCAGGGAUUGUAAAUACACCAAUCGGCACUCUGUAUCUAACUCAAGGUUUGUAAAUACACCAAUCAGCACCCUGUGUCUAGCUCAGGGUUUGUGAAUGCACCAACGGACACUCUGUAUCUAGCUACCCUGGUGGGGACUUGGAGAACCGUUGUGUCGACACUCUGUAUCUAACUAAUCUGGUGGGGACUUGGAGAACCUUUGUGUCUAGCUCAGGGAUUGUAAACGCACCAAUCAGCGCCCUGUCAAAACAAACCACUUGUCUCUACCAAUCAGCAGGACGUGGGUGGGGCCAGAUAAGAGAAUAAAAGCAGGCUGCCCAAGCCAGCAGUGGCAACCCGCUUGGGUCCCCUUCCACACUGUGGAAGCUUUGUUCUUUCACUCUUUGCAAUAAAUCUUGCUACUGUUCACUCUUUGGGUCCACACUGCUUUUAUGAGCUAUAACACUCACCGCAAAGGUCUGCAGCUUCACUCCUGAAGCCAGCGAGACCACAAGCCCACUGGGAGGAACGAACAACUCCAGGCGCGCAAUGAACAACUCCAGGCGCGCCGCCUUAAGAGCUGUAACACUCACCGCGAAGGUCUGCAGUUUCACUCCUAAGCCAGCGAGACCACGAACCCACCAGAAGGAAGAAACUCCAAACACAUCUGAACAUUAGAAGGAACAAACUCCAGAUGCGCCACCUUAAGAGCUGUAACACUCACCGCGAGGGUCCACGGCUUCAUUCUUGAAGUCAGUGAGAGACCAAGAACCCACCAAUUCCGGACACAUUUUGGCGACCAUGAAGGGACUUUCGCCUAUUGCCAAGCGGUGAGACAAUCGCUGAGCAGUGAGACCAUCACCUAUUGCCGAGCGGUGAGACCAUUGCCUAUCGCCAAGCAAAUCGAGGCCAUCAAGCUACAGAUGGUCUUACAAAUGGAACCCCAAAUGAGUUCAACUAACAACUUCUACCGAGGACCCCUGGACUGACCAGCUGGCACUUCCCCUGGCCUAGAGAGUUCCCCUCUGAAGGACACUACAACUGCAAAGCCCCUUCUUCGCCCCUAUCCAGCAGGAAGUAGCUAGAGCAGUCAUCGGCCAAAUUCCCAACAGCAGUUGGGGUGUCCUGUUGAUUGAGGGGAGACAGCAUGCUGGCAGUCCUCACAGCCCUCACUCGCUCGCUCACUCUCGGCACCUCCUCUGCCUGGGCUCCCACUUUGGCAGCACUUGAGGAGCCCUUCAGCUCUGUAUCUAGCUACUCUGAUGGGUCCUUGGAGAACCUUUAUGUCUAGCUCAGGGAUUGUAAAUACACCAAUCAGCACCCUGUGUCUAGCUCAGGGUUUGUGAAUGCACCAAUGGACACUCUGUAUCUAGCUACUCUGGUGGGGCCUUGGAGAACCUUUGUGUCAACACUCUGUAUCUAACUAACCUGGUGGGGAUGUGGAGAACCUUUGUGUCUAGCUCAGGGAUUGUAAACGCACCAAUCAGUGCCCUGUCAAACCACUCGGCUCUACCAAUCAGCAGGAUGUGGGUGGGGCCAGAUAAGAGAAUAAAAGCAGGCUGCCCGAGCCAGCAGUGGCAACCCGCUCAGGUCCCCUUCCACACUGUGGAAGCUUUGUUCUUUCGCUCUUUGCAAUACAUCUUGCUACUGCUCACUCUUUGGGUCCACACUGCUUUUAUGAGCUGUAACACUCACCACAAAGGUCUGUAGCUUCACUCCUGAGCCAGCGAGACCACGAACUCACCAGAAGGAAGAAACUCCAAACACAUCCGAACAUCAGAAGAAACAAACUCCAGACGCACCACCUUAAGAGCUGUAACACUCACUGUGAGGGUCCAUGGCUUCAUUCUUGAAGUCAGUGAGACCAAGAACCCACCAAUUCCGGACACACAACCGGCCAUGUGACAGGCUCAGGGAAGGACAUGUGACUCAAGGCAGGCCAGUGAAGUGCAAUUCUAGGUUAGACUGGCCGGGAAGGAGCGGCCGUGUUUUCUGUUGAUGGAUGCUGCUGCCCUCUCCUCAACCUCUCACGCUCUGCACUACAGACAACCUCCUUGGGGCUGAGGCCAGCACAGCGCAAAGCACAGCAAGAGGGGAGCCCGAGCCCCUGGAUCCAGCCAUCCUCCACGGCAAGCUCAGACCACCCGCUCCCUCAGCUCUUUCACAGAACCCUGGUCUACCUAGUUGAUGUCUUAUAUAAUUCCACUAUUAUCUGUGAUUAAUUAAUGUGGAACCACAUGAUUAUCUGUGUGACCUGGUCUGAGGUCUCCCCUAGACUGAGCACCCCCUCUGGACGGCAGGUGAGCAUCUGACCGGUCCACAGCUGUGGCCCCCACACAGCAGCUGGCACACACAGGGGCUCUGCAUGUUAGACUCCUGCAGUAACACCCAGGGGCAUGGGUGCGCCUUACUCCUCUCUGGGAUCCCGGAGCCCAGCACAGCGUCAGCCAGGCACAGCAGAGAGAACAGGAGGUGCAGGCUGAGACAGGGCAGUGCAGUGCCUAAGAGUCUGGGCUGUGGAGUCUGAGAGCUCUGGUUCCAAUCCCAGCGUGGGGCCCUUAGGCAAGGUGUCUCUCCUCCCUGAAAGCAGUCUCACCAGCCAGAGACAGUGUUGGCCCUGCCUUAUGGGCUGUUGUGAGGGUGAGAUGAAUUGACUCCAAGUACUUGGCACCCAGGAAGUGUCCAUUGCUGUGGGGCAUGGCGUGACUGGAAGGAGGAGCCCCAGCCAGCGACCUGGAGUGGUCUGCCCAAGGUCAAGGCCCCAGUACAGCAGAAGCAAGAGCUCUAGAGCUGUCAAAGAC
rnacentral:lncRNA from 10 species